rnacentral:rRNA from 1 species
UACGUAGGGUGCAGGCGUUAAUCGGAAUUACUGGGCGUAAAGCGUGCGCAGGCGGCUUUGCAAGACAGAUGUGAAAUCCCCGGGCUUAACCUGGGAACUGCAUUUGUGACUGCAAAGCUAGAGUGCGGCAGAGGGGGAUGGAAUUCCGCGUGUAGCAGUGAAAUGCGUAGAUAUGCGGAGGAACACCGAUGGCGAAGGCAAUCCCCUGGGCCUGCACUGACGCUCAUGCACGAAAGCGUGGGGAGCAAACAGG